GGUAGCGUGGCCGAGUUGGUCUAAGGCGCUGGAUUUAAGUUCGUCUUGAUUCCCAGUGAAGGUGACUUCGCGCGAGUUCGAAUCUCGCCGCUACCA